UACAGAGGGGGCGAGCGUUGUUCGGAAUUACUGGGCGUAAAGGGCGCGUAGGCGGCCCGCUAAGUCGAACGUGAAAUCCCCAGGCUCAACCUGGGAACUGCGUCCGAUACUGGCAGGCUUGAAUCCGGGAGAGGGAUGUGGAAUUCCAGGUGUAGCGGUGAAAUGCGUAGAUAUCUGGAGGAACAUCGGUGGCGAAGGCGGCAUCCUGGACCGGUAUUGACGCUGAGGCGCGAAAGCUAGGGGAGCAAACGGG
rnacentral:rRNA from 1 species